GACGAACGCUGGCGGCGUGCUUAACACAUGCAAGUCGAACGGUAUGGCCCUGCUUUUGUUGGGUGCUCGAGUGGCAAACGGGUGAGUAACACGUUAGUAACCUGCCCUUGACUUUGGGAUAACUUCAUGAAACUGGGGCUAAUACCCGAUACGCGCUCCUGCUGCAUGUUGGGGGUUGGAAAGUUUCGGCGGUUGGGGAUGGACUCGCGGCUUAUCUGCUUGUUGGUGGGGUAGUGGCUUACCAAGGCUUUGACGGGUAGCGGGACUGAGAGGGUGACCGGGAACAUGGGGACUGAGAUACGGCCGAGAGUAGUACGGGAGGCAGCAGUGGGGAAUAUUGCACAAUGGGCGGAAGCCGGAUGCAGGAACGACGCGUGCGGGAUGAAGGACUUCGGGGUGUAAACAGAUGUGGAAUGUGAGGAAGCGUGAGUGACGGUAAUGGGUAAAGAAGCACCGGCUAACUACGUG
rnacentral:rRNA from 1 species